rnacentral:rRNA from 1 species
GAUCCUGGCUCAGGACGAACGCUGGCGGCGUGCUUAACACAUGCAAGUCGAACGCUGAAGCCUAGCUUGCUGGGUGGAUGAGUGGCGAACGGGUGAGUAACACGUGAGUAACCUGCCCUCUUCUUUGGGAUAACGCCCGGAAACGGGUGCUAAUACUGGAUAUUCACUGGCCUUCGCAUGGGGGUUGGUGGAAAGGUUUUUUCUGGUGGGGAUGGGCUCGCGGCCUAUCAGCUUGUUGGUGGGUGAUGG